rnacentral:rRNA from 1 species
CUCGUAGGCGGCCAACUAAGUCAGACGUGAAAUCCCCAGGCUCAACCUGGGAACUGCGUCUGAUACUGGAUGGCUUGAAUUCGGGAGAGGGAUGCAGAAUUCCAGGUGUAGCGGUGAAAUGCGUAGAUAUCUGGAGGAAUACCGGUGGCGAAGGCGGCAUCCUGGACCGACAUUGACGCUGAUGAGCGAAAGCUAGGGGAGCAAAC